AUUUGCUAUGUUUUUAAACUACUAUUUUGCUUUGAGUUUCGGGUGGUGUUUCUAACUACCAAACAUUGAUUAUACUUAAUUAGACAACAAGUUGUUCACACACUGCAUUCAUUACACAUCAAAUCAGUUUUUAAAAACUCGAACAAAAAGUAGACAGAGAGCAUUCAUCAGAGCAUUAAUCACAGCAACCAACUAACAUAGAUUUAAUGAAACCUAGUUCAGUUCCUACUCUAGAGAGCAUCACAUCACAUUCAGAGCCUUUCAAAUAAUACAACACGGAACCUAGCAUUAUGAAGAUCUAGUUUAGGUCCUAGUCUACCUAGUUAAGUUGAGUUCUACUUCAGCAAGCAACCUACACGGGAACAUUUUUUUAAACUAAAUACUACUUCUACUUCAGUUCAGUUUAGUUUGAGUG
rnacentral:lncRNA from 1 species